AGUGAACGCUGGCGGUAGGCCUAACACAUGCAAGUCGAACGGCAGCACAGUAAGAGCUUGCUCUUACGGGUGGCGAGUGGCGGAUGGGUGAGGAAUACAUCGGAAUCUACUUUUUCGUGGGGGAUAACGUAGGGAAACUUACGCUAAUACCGCAUACGACGUACGGGUGAAAGCAGGGGAUCUUCGGACUUUGCGCGAUUGAAUGAGCCGAUGUCGGAUUAGCUAGUUGGCGGGGUAAAGGCCCACCAAGGCGACGAUACGUAGCUGGUCUGAGAGGAUGAUCAGCCACACUGGAACUGAGACACGGUCCAGACUCCUACGGGAGGCAGCAGUAGGGAAUAUUGGACAAUGGGCGCAAGCCUGAUCCAGCCAUGCCGCGUGAGUGAAGAAGGCCUUCGGGUUGUAAAGCCCUUUUGUUGGGGAAGAAAAGCUGUGGGUUAAUACCCCGCUGUUCUGACGGUACCCAAAGAAUAAGCACCGGCUAACUUCGUG
rnacentral:rRNA from 1 species